CAGGCUUUGCCUGUAAGAGGGCUGGUCUGGGGGGACAUCUGAACCCAAUUCAGGAACACCUCACAGGUCUGCCAGCAGGGCUAGACCCGGGGUGAGAUCCAGGGCAACAGGGUCUGCCUGGGAAGCUCAGCUCCGGCACUGCCUGGGGCGUCUCUGCCUACACAGGACCAUUCCUCUCGCCUGGACUCCUCUUGGAGUUUGCCAAGGCUGGCCUCUGCAGAAAUAGGAGACUCCUGGAGGAAGACAGUGGACUUCAGCAAGCUGCACCAAGGAGAAUCCACAGCGGCAGCUGCCCUGCCAGGCGCGGGAUCUCGGUCAAGGUGGAUCAACACAGCCUCAGGUGUGUGCUCUGCCCCACUGAGAUGGCAAGUGCAUUCUUUUCUAUUCCUACGAGGAAAGAGCAUCCGAAAGAGCCUGCCUUCACAUAGGAUGAAUAACAGUGGACCUUGGCUUUGCCUCAGUGUUAUGUGCUAAUAAACCAUGUAUUCUAUGCCCUAAGGAAGCCCAGAGAGAACUGGACAAGCUGGAUAUCCCAAAGAGCAUGGCACUGGCCCACCACAUUGAUUACAUUGCGCUGGCCGGGUGCUAACCAAGAAGCAGCUAACACACUGGGAGUCUUGGUAAGAUGCCUGAGUGCCUGCAGCUGGCAGACAAAUCCUACAAAGAUUCUGGGAACUGCCACUAAUAACACUCUUGGUGGGGAGGUCCCAUAUCCCAUAACCAGGAGCAUACUGGGCCUCCUGUCCACAGCAAAGAGCCAAUUACUGCAUCUUGCAUCUCCCAUGACCAAGAGAGACAGACAAUGCCAGUACGCCUUCUGGAGGCAGCACGUUCCACACACAUGAAGACUACUCCAGCCUAUGUACCAUUGAUAGGAGAAGCUGUCGGCCUUCCCUGAGCCUGCAGCAGGUCGAGGCUGCAGUGCUGGCAGCCCUGUGACUCAGGCCCUGCAGCUGGUCGGACCCUGUGUUAUGAGAGGUAUCAGACGUGGGAAAGCAAUGCUGUGUGUUUAUGGCAAACCACUAUGCCAGAAUCACAGUGCAGGCCCCUGGGAUUCAGAAACAAAGCCGUGCCAUCUGCGGCAGAGGAUUCUGCGAAAAAUUCUGAAAAGUCCCUGUUGAUGUGCUCCUGGGGCCUGGGGUGAUGGAAUACCUGAUUGUGCAUGUGGAACUGCUCAGAUGAGCUGGAUUCUGUCUCACCCCUGGGUCAUGAGGUUGGGGACUCAGAAAUAACCCAUCACAGGUGGGAGUGUGCGUGUGGCAGCAGCAGAAGCAGGAGCAGGAGGCCAAGCAGCGGCAGCUGCCCAGUACCCCCCCCCACCCUCCACAGCAGUCCCCACAGCCCCAGUGGAGGAACCUUCUGGUGAACUGAGGAGGGAGGGACAAGCCCGGCCUCAGUUCAUGGAGGUGUCUGCUCUGCCUGUGGGGCCAGCCCAAAUCGCCUGGCUGCCAUACUCCAGUCUCAGCAAGCUGCCCUUUAAAGAGGGUGAUAUGGUUUGGCUCUGUGUCCCCACCCAAAUCUCAUCUUGAACUGUAAUCCCCAGGUGAUGAGGGUGAGACCUGAUGGGAAGUGAUUGGAUCAUGGGGGCUGUUUUCCCCAUGCUGUUCUCGUGAUAGUGAAGGAGUUCUCAUGAGAUCUGAUGGUUUUAUAAGUGUCUGGCAAUUCCCCUGCUUGCACUUGUCUUUCUCACCCACCACCACGUAAGACGUGCCUGCUUCCCCUUCCGCCAUGAUUGUAAGUUUCCUGAGGCGUCCCCAGCCAUGCAGAACUGUGAG
rnacentral:lncRNA from 1 species